CAAACACACACUAAAAGCCCGCUAAUUAAUUUCUGGGAAUGAGAUUAUUUCUAACUUUUAUUUUCGCAGGUCUAACUUUACAAGAGAUCAACCCUUUCCAUCUCUCUCACCUCAUCCCGUUAACUCAACUGGGCAUCUCUUGAAUCUGCUACAAAGAACUGCUCAUCGUUUCUUCAAUUUCUUUCGAUCCCCUACCGAUCCAUAAAUCUUUCCGGGUCGCUGUUUUGGGUUUCAAAUUCUUUCUGCCAUUGUCCUUGGGAAUGCAAGCUCGUUAAAAACCCAGCUCAGCUUCUGCACGACUGUUGAUUGGUCCACCAUCGAGUUUCUCAACAGGGAAGAUCUGAUGACUCUCUUCCUCCAUCGUCAUCGCUCAGCUCAGUCCAUCUCUGCUUCUCGGUCCAGUGAGAUUGAGGUUGGAAAAUGAGCUCAACAGUACACCUUCAGCUAUCACUAUAAUUGGCUCAUCUAGUCAGGUUUGGUUACCAAGAACUGAUGGUCAUAUGGGCUUGGCAAAUUCAGUGGCACUAAAGUUGGUUGGGAUUGAUAAUUCAUCAAAAGAUUCAGAUGGCGGAACAAUUAUGAGAACUGUGACUCGAGGUAUUGAUUAUAUUCUUUAGGUUGUGGAUCGAAUUGGCAAGGAGCAUUGCAAAGUUAAUUAACUUGAUUAUUAAUUGCAAGAGAUAUCUCGCCUGGGGUGUGAUAGAUAAUUCGUCCUAACUAUGCGAUGCUUACUAUAUGAUAAGCUAUUGGUUCACCAAUUGCAUGGCCUUCUCGAAAGGUUAUUCCAAGAGAUUCAACCAGUGAAGUGCAAAAGAAAAUCUUAUUUGGAAGGCUUUGAUGUGCUGACAUUUGGAAAAUCAUGAAUUCCUACCUUUACUUUUGAAUAUGUAACUGCUUAAGACUAUUUUGUUGACUAUUAUGAGAAUGUUUUGUUUAUGUUAAUUAGGCAGUUUUGAAUAUCUUAAGACUUUUGGAUUGUUUUUUAGAUAAUCUUGAAUGUAUUUUGACACAAUUAUGUAGUUAUAUGUGUUAUGAACAGUAUAAUUGGUACUCAAAAA